GCCGGGCACAGUGUCACCUGCCUGUAGUCCCAGCUACUCAGGAGGCUAAGGUGGGAGGAUCGCUUGAGCCCAGGAGUUCUGGGCUGUAGUGCGCUAUGCCAAUAGGGUGUCUGCAGUAAGUUCGGCAUCAGUAUGGUGACCUCCUGGGAGUCAGGGACCACCAGGUUGCCUAAGGAGAGGUGAACCAGCCCAGGAAAUGGAGCAGGUCAAAACUCCAGUGCUGAUCAUUAGCGGGAUUGCACCUGUGAACAGCCACUGCACUCCAGCCUGGGCAACAUACUGAGACCCUGUCUCA
rnacentral:SRP_RNA from 1 species